rnacentral:rRNA from 1 species
UACGAAGGGGGCUAGCGUUGUUCGGAAUCACUGGGCGUAAAGGGCGCGUAGGCGGUCUGCUAAGCGUGUGGUGAAAGCUCGGGGCUCAACCCCGAGUCGGCCGUGCGAACUGGUGGACUCGAGCACGUCAGAGGCAGGCGGAAUUCCGGGUGUAGCGGUGGAAUGCGUAGAGAUCCGGAAGAACACCGGUGGCGAAGGCGGCCUGCUGGGACGUGGCUGACGCUGAGGCGCGACAGCGUGGGGAGCAAACAGG